UACGUAGGGUGCGAGCGUUGUCCGGAAUUAUUGGGCGUAAAGGGCUCGUAGGCGGUUUGUCGCGUCGGGAGUGAAAACCAUGGGCUUAACUCAUGGCUUGCUUUCGAUACGGGCAGACUUGAGGUAUGCAGGGGAGAACGGAAUUCCUGGUGUAGCGGUGAAAUGCGUAGAUAUCAGGAGGAACACCGGUGGCGAAGGCGGGUCUCUGGGCCAUAACUGACGCUGAGGAGCGAAAGCGUGGGGAGCGAACAGG
rnacentral:rRNA from 1 species